rnacentral:lncRNA from 1 species
AUGGAGGAUUCUGGCAGAUAUACCAUGAUUGUCCAGAAUAAAUAUGGAGGAGAGUCUGUGGAUAUAGUGGUCAGUGUGUAUCGCCAUGGGGAGAAAAUCCCUGAGGCAAAACCAACUCUGACCCCUAAAACAAUCAUCCCACCUAAAUUACCAAUCGAGAUCCCUCAGCCUAAGACCCAGCCUGCUCCGAGCGCUGCCCCUUCAACUCCUAGCCCUGCCGCUCCUAAGGCAGCACUGGGAAGAGGGGUGAAGAGUCCUACUCCAAGUCGGAGGAAGUGAAAAGCAAGGCAGAAGAAACACAAUCACUGGUGCACAAUUAGACCACACAUAGCUGAGAAGCCUUUAUUGGUGUUCUCUAUCUGGAUUGAAAUGGAGCUAAUACUCUUUCCAUUAAAUUAGAGCGUCAAGAAAACCCUGACAUAUGAAAUAAAUCUUGCAAUUGUGAUGGAAAGCAAAAAAUAAUUUCAAUGUGAAAUCAUUGUAUAAAAUCAGCAAAAUUAUACUAGAAUAAUAAAAAGCUAGGCACUAUCUAAACAUGAGGAAAUUAGAAAUUAAUUGAAAUGAACUUGAAUAAAGCUACAAAUUGAAUAAAACUUGAAGAAAGAGUGAAAUGUGUUUUAAAUUCAUUCUUGAAGUGCACAAAUGACACCGCAUGCAGUAUAAUCAAAUAUUAAAUGGCUUGCAAAUUACAGGAACAUUGCCCAAAGUUAACUGACUUGAAGCUUCGAUGCACCUUGGCAUUGUGGAACAAUAUUUCGUAUUUAUCAUAGUUAGGGGGAGUUUAACAUGUUAGUCAAAACAAAAUUGGGUUAAAGUCUAGUAAGUACAAAUCCCAAAGGAGACCAGUAAACAUUAAUUUCAAAUCAAAUCAAAUCAAAUCACUUUUAUUGUCACAUCACAUGUGCAGGUACACUGGUACAGUACAUGCGAGUGAAAUUCUUGUGUGCGAGCUUCACAAGCAACAGAGUUGUGCAAAAUACAAUAACGUAAAACAAGCAAAAUAUAAAAAUUGCUAAUCUAAAAAGUAAUAAAUAUAUGUACAAUAUGUAAAGGUAUAUACAUUACUGAAUGUGUAUACUAAAUAUGUUUUUCUACAUGUGUGUGUUUGAGUGUGUAUAUAGUGUGUAUAUACAUGUAAUGAAAUAAAGUAAACAAUAAAAUAAGAUAUAUAAAAUAUACAGAGGUUGGUAUGUGCAAAACAGUGGUAUUUAUAUACAGUAUGGAGUGCAUAAUGUUGAAGUUCUGGUAAGUGAAGGUGAGGUGUCUAUGAAGUGUUCAGCAGUCUGAUGGCCUGAUGGAAAAAGCUGCCCUAUGGAUGUAGGUUUUGUCCCCCGUAACCAAGUGACCCAUCCAUCUUUGUUGCCAUGCCACCAAAAUAACCCCACAGCAUAUCAAAACCACGGGAUCCCCUCACUGUAGAGUUUAAGAGUUUUCUCUUUAAAUUCUUAUCUGUGUCACAGAAUAUUUCAAGUAAACCAGAGACAUGGUCUGCUCCAUCAAGGAUUACUCUAAACAUAGUUUUAAAAAAUGCUGUGUUAUGUUACAAAGUUGCUAGGGCCACUAGCCAGGACAUGCCCUCACAUCACUAACCUGCUGACUAUUACCUGCAUUUUUGAUGGUGUCUAGCACCAGAUGUUCUUGGUAUAAUCACAUACACACCACUCCCAUUUGCCUUUGAUUAUGGGGCUGAGGCAAGUUUCAUUAUGAGCCAGUGGAGAGAGGUGGGCCCUUGUCUAUAUUUUUCUGAAUAUGAUCAGUGGUUUGGCUCAGUCUCACAGUCAUUUACAUAUUUAAAUGCACAAAAACAACACAGGCUUAGUAUCACAGCUCACAAGAUCAGUGUUCAUUUUAUGUUGUUUAAAGGGAGGAAAAAAAAACACAGACGUGCACCUUUCACAAAGAAAAAAGGGACAGAGAGAAAUAGGUCAGGCUGUACAAAGUAGUCAUUAUACUGCCACCUCUACAACACGGUCAACUGAUGACUGCAAAUGUAUAACACCAUCCUCCUUAAGAUCACCAUGGUGAACACGCUGAAGAUUAACUGGCAGUGAAUCACCACUAAGUAAACCAGAGCUGUGAAGCGAAGCUGUCCUACUAACGCUGCUGCCUCUCAAACCGUCAUUACCAAAUUUUACCUAAUAUUAACUCUGAC